rnacentral:lncRNA from 10 species
GGGUGACCAGAUUAAUUACCCAAAGGCGUGUUAACUCAAAGCCUUUGUCAUUAAAUCUGUACUGAAUAAAUGCCUGCAGAGCCAGCUAGUCAGAGUGUGCAUGCGGCUGCUACAACUCUGUGAUUGGCACAGCCCCCUGGCCUACUCUUUCACUGAAUAUCAGUGUCUGAGUACAUUAUUCAUCCAUUGUGCAGCCUAGGUCUGUGGGUCAGACCCCAGCAGGUGGUGCCUCGUGUGAGGAACGCUGCAACGGACUGGUGAUUGUGACGGAACCCUUGAAAACGAAGGUGAAAAGGACUGUGCAGUCAGUCCUCUUUGAAUUCCAGCACGAUGCAUCAAACCAUACCAUGGCAUGGCUAGGACCCAACCCAGUACCAGAAAUGAAGAAAAGGACCCUACAGGACCCGCAUCCCCAUGCUGAAAAAGACAACUCAAGAGGCUGAACAAAUCCUGCUCCAGACACACACAUCAUUCACUCCAGGAUUCAAAGCUGGAAUACGAGCAGUGACCAGCAUGCCUGACAGGCCUGUUGCUACACACAUCUGUACUCUUCAAUCAACAAAGCCUGAUGCAAAAUAACAGAAAAGGGGGAGAUACAAGAGUUCAGUCAGGGUGGUGGGAAAAAUUGUAAAAUAAACACAAACCUUAUUAGAAGGUCAGUAGGUUUUGUAAAAGCCUUAGGAUAGCCGGGCGCGGUGGCUCACGCCUGUAAUCCCAGCACUUUGGGAGGCCGAGACGGGCGGAU